UGGGGAAUAUUGCACAAUGGGCGAAAGCCUGAUGCAGCGACGCCGCGUGAGGGAUGAAGGCCUUCGGGUUGUAAACCUCUUUCAGCAGGGAAGAAGCGCAAGUGACGGUACCUGCAGAAGAAGCGCCGGCUAACUACGUGCCAGCAGCCGCGGUAAUACGUAGGGCGCAAGCGUUGUCCGGAAUUAUUGGGCGUAAAGAGCUCGUAGGCGGUUUGUCGCGUC
rnacentral:rRNA from 1 species